ACGGGAGGCAGCAGUGAGGAAUAUUGGUCAAUGGGCGCAAGCCUGAACCAGCCAAGUAGCGUGCAGGAUGACGGCCCUAUGGGUUGUAAACUGCUUUUGUCGGGGAAUAAAGUGACCCACGCGUGGGUUAUUGCAGGUACCCGGUGAAUAAGGACCGGCUAAUUCCGUGCCAGCAGCCGCGGUAAUACGGAAGGUCCGGGCGUUAUCCGGAUUUAUUGGGUUUAAAGGGAGCGUAGGCCGUGCUUUAAGCGUGUUGUGAAAUGUAGGCGCCCAACGUCUGCACUGCAGCGCGAACUGGAGCACUUGAGUACGCAGGAAGUAGGCGGAAUUCGUCGUGUAGCGGUGAAAUGCUUAGAUAUGACGAAGAACUCCGAUUGGGAAGCCAGCUUACUGUAGCGCCACUGACGCUGAUGCUCGAAAGCGUGGGUAUCGAACAGGAUUAGAUACCCUGGUA
rnacentral:rRNA from 1 species